UAGUGGCAAGCGAGGUGGACAGUGAAGGAGAAGGAGAGGAAGAGGAAGAAGAAAAAGAAAAAGAGAAAGAGGCAUCUUUUAUUGAGGAUUUAAGUGAGUGCCCAGUUUAAUCACUGUACAUGUUUUAUCUCCAUGAAAUAGUCAUU
rnacentral:miRNA from 1 species